CUGGGAUGGGAUCAGGAGGCGCUGGGUCUGAAGAGCCACUCUGGAGGGUGCUUCCCAGGUGUGCGGCAUGGGCAGGCCAGAAGUACCAGACAACAAGCCUGUGCUAAAUCCUUUUGCACCCUGGCAAGCGACAACACUGGUCACUGCGCAAGCGGGAUGCCUUGGAAGGCCCUGCCACCGCACAUGGCAGGACACAGCCGAGCGGAUCUAAGAGCCCACAGCGCAUCUACUCGUUUGUUUGAAGCCUGAGAGCUCUCCAGGCAGCGCUGAUGUGUCCGG